AAUGCGGGACUCUAAGAGGCCCCGUAAUUGGAAUGAGUACACCUUAAAUCGUUUAACGAGUAUCAAUUGGAGGGCAAGUCUGGUGCCAGCAGCCGCGGUAAUUCCAGCUCCAAUAGCGUAUAUUAAAGUUGCUGCAGUUAAAAAGCUCGUAGUUGGAUCUGGGGCUUGAGGUCGCUGUCUAUCGUUUCGGCGAUGACGGUGAUGCUCAGCUCUGCUUGCCGGUGACUGUUGCGGUGUUCUUCAUUGAGCGCUGUAGCAGCACGGCACGUUUACUUUGAAAAAAUUAGAGUGCUCAAAGCGUGCUUGUCGCUUGAAUAAUGUUGCAUGGAAUAAUGGAAUAGGACCUCGGUUCUAUUUUGUUGGUUUUCGGAGCUUGAGGUAAUGAUUAAGAGGGACGAACGGGGGCAUUCGUAUUGCGGUGUUAGAGGUGAAAUUCUUGGAUCGCCGCAAGACGGACUACUGCGAAAGCAUUUGCCAAGAACGCUUUCAUUAAUUAAGAACGAUAGUCAGAGGUUCGAAGACGAUCAAACACCGUCCUAGUUCUGACCUUAAACGAUGCCGACCAGCGAUCCGUAGUGGUUGCUUUAUGGACCCUACGGGCAGCCUCCGGGAAACCAAAGUAUUUGGGUUCCGGGGGAAGUAUGGUUGCAAAGCUGAAACUUAAAGGAAUUGACGGAAGGGCACACCAGGAGUGGAGCCUGCGGCUUAAUUUGACCCAACACGGGAAAACUCACCCGGUCCGGACACCGUAAGGAUUGACAGAUUGAUAGCUCUUUCUUGAUUCGGUGGAUGGUGGUGCAUGGCCGUUCUUAGUUGGUGGAGUGAUUUGUCUGGUUAAUUCCGAUAACGAACGAGACUCUAGCCUGCUAAGUAGUGUAGCUAUUUUUAUAUGGUUUACACUUCUUAGAGGGACAAGUGGCAUUUAGCCACGCGAAAUUGAGCAUUAACAGGUCUGUGAUGCCCUUAGAUGUCCGGGGCCGCACGCGCGCUACACUGGAGAAGUCAGCGUGUGUUAUCCAAGUCCGAAAGGAUUUGGUAAUCCGUUGAACCUUCUUCGUGCUUGGGACUGUGGCUUGGAACUAUUGCACAUGAACGAGGAAUUCCUAGUAAGUGCAAGUCAUAAGCUUGCGUUGACUACGUCCCUGCCCUUUGUACACACCGCCCGUCGCUACUACCGAUUGAAUGGUUUAGCAAGGUCCUCGGAUCGUUGCCGUAGGGGCUCGCAAGGGUUUCUGCGGUUAGCGAGAAGACGCCCAAACUUGAUCAUUUAGA
rnacentral:rRNA from 1 species